rnacentral:lncRNA from 1 species
CCACCUCUGAAUCCUCUCCUCCUAUCUUCUCUCUCAGACACCCUCAAACCCUAAUCAUUGUCCACCUUCUUUGGCCACCUCCCUCGCCGGAAACCAUGGCCACUCAUCAUCUCUUUACCUCUACUUCACCCCACGCCGGUUUGACACAACCCCGAGGUCCUCAGCUGAACCUUGAGCAAUUCAACUACUAUCCAUGGUAUUUCACACCAUUUUUCGUCCACCUCCGGCCAUUCGAGUAAGAUCUAUGACUUUUCCGGCUAAAACCAAUAACAUUUUAAGGUUUUCUCAUCUUCUCUGGGUUCUCUGAAACCCCAACUCUUAUGAUUUUCCAGUUUUCUCUUAGAUCUGCCUUAGAACUGGGUAUAUUCAGAGUUAUCUUGCUAUUUUCCCUUAAAGGUUUGCUGAUAUUCUCAAAAUGACUGUUCGUCUUCAAACUAGGGUUCAUAACUCCUUUUCAAAACGCAUUUCCUUCUAAUUGUUGGUAUUAAUCUAUGAAUUUUAC